CAGUAGCCGCGGUAAUACGAAGGGUGCAAGCGUUACUCGGAAUAACUGGGCGUAAAGCGUGCGUAGGUGGUGGUUUAAGUCCGUUGUGAAAGCCCUGGGCUCAACCUGGGAAUUGCAGUGGAUACUGGGUCACUAGAGCGUGGUAGAGGAUAGUGGAAUUUCCGGUGUAGCAGUGAAAUGCGUAGAGAUCGGGAGGAACAUCUGUGGCGAAGGCGACUAUCUGGGCCAACACUGACCCUGAGGCACGAAAGCGUGGGGAGCAAACAGGAUUAGAUACCCCCGUAGUCCCUGUCUCUUAUAC
rnacentral:rRNA from 1 species